GUAAAUGUGUUUAAGAUAGCCCUGAGUUUUUCUAGAUAAAUACCUGGAAACAUUUAUUUGAAUCAUUUAUUGUCAUGUGUAUUCCAUACAAAAUACAGUGAGAAGUUUAAACAGUCACCAUGCAUCAGUGACAUUUUGAGUAAUUUUAAAAAACUUUAAGAGAGUCCAACUUUCCACAACUGUUAAUAGCUGCCUCCUCGACGUCAUUGCCAGAGUGCCGUUCCUGGCACACCAGCCAGCUGACUCUGUAGCCACCUUGCUGCCGCCGCCAGGCCUUGGGCCCACAAUACUGCCACCAUUAAAGCUGCCUCUGAAGCCACUGCUGCUCUGGACCCUGCCGAAGCUACUUUCCUACUGACCAGUCUCUCCUCAGAAGGGUGAACAGCUUACUGGUCACUACCUCCUGGAUAUCCAUCCCUCUGCUACUAGAACACCCGCAUGUGAGAGAUGAAAAUGGUUGAAAUUGGCACUGACAAGCUGGGAUACUGCUUCUGACAGUAGUGACCUCUGGAGGCUGACUGUUUGCAGGGGAGUUAGAAGAGCUACCCUUUCUUCCCCCACCCCAUCCCCCAUGUCGAUUCCUGUCUGUGCACACCCUCUUUCCAUUAGACUAACAGAUAAGGCCAAAGGCUCCAUUUUGAUGACAAGCUGCUUCAGGCCUAGGACCACCCUACCCCAACUUCCACCCGAGUGUCGGCAGCCAGGAGGAAAAGCUGGAAGCAUUUCAGAAUCGAGAUGCCUUUCGCCUGUUGUUCGCCACCGUACAAGUGAGAGACCUUGGUGGCUCGAGAUGUGCCCCGGUGUUUGGCAGGCACUGUUCAUCCACAGCAAAGAAAGAUUUGCCAAACUUUAACCGUUAUUUCCCUUAAAGACAGACACAAGAUUCUAUUUUACAGCACAAAACUUUUUUUCUGUUUGUCUGCAGCUGGCCUGAGUAGGUACUGACAGGAGGGACUGCUUGACAGUGCCUGUGAGAAGCACUGUAAUCCCCUGUUGUAUCUGAUAAUUAAUAAAUGAAACACCCAGGGACUCUGCUAAAGCUUCCUCAGAUGACAUAUCUGUCGUGAGCUCGGCAAAGCAUUA